rnacentral:rRNA from 1 species
GAUGAACGCUGGCGGCGUGCCUAAUACAUGCAAGUCGAGCGAACAGACGAGGAGCUUGCUCCUCUGACGUUAGCGGCGGACGGGUGAGUAACACGUGGAUAACCUACCUAUAAGACUGGGAUAACUUCGGGAAACCGGAGCUAAUACCGGAUAAUAUAUUGAACCGCAUGGUUCAAUAGUGAAAGACGGUUUUGCUGUCACUUAUAGAUGGAUCCGCGCCGCAUUAGCUAGUUGGUAAGGUAACGGCUUACCAAGGCAACGAUGCGUAGCCGACCUGGGAGGGUGAUGGGCCACACUGGAGCUGAGACACGGCCCAGACUCCGAGGGGAGGCAGCAGUAGGGAAUCUUCCGAAAGGGGCGAAAGCCUGACGGAGCAACGCAGCGUGGGUGAAGAAGGUCUUCGGAUCGUAAAACGCUGUUAUGGGGGAAGAACAAAUGUGUAAGUAACGAUGCACGUCUGGACGGUACCGAAACAGAAGGCCACGGCUAAUUCCGG